GUACACGCUGUGACUAGCAUAUCAAUAAGCGGAGGAAAAGAAACUAACAAGGAUUCCCCUAGUAACGGCGAGUGAAGCGGGAAGAGCUCAAAUUUGAAAUCUUAAAGGGUUUCCCUUUACGAAUUGUAGUUUAAAGAAGUGUUUUCUGUUGAGGUUUUGGUAAAAGUUCUUUGGAAUAGGACAUCAUAGAGGGUGAGAAUCCCGUAUUUGACCUUUACUCUCAACUUUGUGAUACACUUUCAAAGAGUCGGAUUGUUUGGGAAUGCAGUCCAAAAUGGGUGGUAAAUUUCAUCUAAAGCUAAAUAUUGGCGAGAGACCGAUAGCGAACAAGUACCGUGAGGGAAAGAUGAAAAGAACUUUGAAAAGAGAGUUAAACAGUACGUGAAAUUGUCAAAAGGGAAGCGUUUGACACCAGUGUUGUUUUUCUGAAAAUCAAUUAAAGAACUGUUUAUGCUAAGUUGUUUAGACUUUAUCAGCUAUCUGUUUAGUUUUGAGCUUUUCUUUAAUGCACUUUUCAGUUAACAAGUCAACAUCAAUUUCUUUUGCUGUAAAAAAGCUUGAGGAAGGUGGCUUGAGAUUCGUCUUAAGUGUUUAUAGCCUCUUGCCUAUGCAGUCGGAGAGAUUGAGGUCUGCAGCGUAGAUCCUUCGGGGCUAAAUGCAUUUGUGCUAAGUUAUAGCAUUUUAUAGACAACUUGUUGACUAUGAUUUGUCUUGUAGCUUACUCGCUUAUGUUAUUUUACCUACGCUUAGGAUGUUGAAGAUGUAGCACAUCAU
rnacentral:rRNA from 1 species